GCGAGCCGGAGGAGUUGUGGACUCGCAGCUUCCCACGCUGAAUGCCCUGGGGUUCGAGUCCCUUCGCCCGCUCCA
rnacentral:tRNA from 1 species